rnacentral:rRNA from 1 species
AAAACUUUCAACAACGGAUCUCUUGGUUCUGGCAUCGAUGAAAAACGCAGCGAAAUGCGAUAAGUAAUGUGAAUUGCAAAAUUCAGUGAAUCAUCGAAUCUUUGAACGCACAUUGCGCCCCUCGGCAUUCCGGGGGGCAUGCCUGUUCGAGCGUCAUU